UAUAGUUUUAUUAAUAUUUGAUUAGGAUUUGUUUAGGACUUGUUUAGAAUUUAGGAUUUUAUUAGGAUUUGAUCUAAGGUUUAAGUUUGAUUAGGAUUUCAUUAGGAUUUAGGAUUUUAUUAAGAUUUGGUCUAAGAUUAGAUUUAGGAUUGGAAUUUAGGAUUUGAUUAGAGUUUGAUUAGAAUUUAAUUAGGAUUUGAUUUAAGAUUUUAUUAGAAUUUAUUGAGGAUUGUAUUAGGAUUUGAUUAAGAUUCAAUUAAGAUUCUAUUUU
rnacentral:lncRNA from 1 species